GUGAUUCCCUUAACGCGAUUCCACGGAGUAGCGCUAUCUAGCGCCAUUACGGCGUAAUUCAACAUCAGAAUCAGAAUCAGGAUUAUUGACACACACAAGGAAUUUGGUUCUAUCUGUUUGUCACUCUUAAAAAAACACUUCCCUGGCUGCAAAAGACAGAAGAGUUCAUUAUUCAGAUGUCGAAGAUCCUUCACUCUAUUCCUGGCCUUGAUCGACACUGCUUGCUGUGGACAGACUGCAGGAUAAGGGCCAGACUGCUGUGCUGACCAGGCAAAAUGGUGCAAUGUAAUUAUGUGGCCUGUAGAUCAGAGGCAUACAUCUUCCUAACUGCAGCCCAGUGAUGCCAUGCUGACUAACCUAUGGCACUUUCAGACACUUACUGGCCCUAAAUCAGUAUCUAACAGAUGCACACAACCUUCAGGGCUGUCAUACCUCACGCAUUUGGCUCUCACAGCAGAUAGGCCUAAUUUAUCCAGCUCUCCGAUUCAAAACGGCAGUAAAAUGAAAAUGCAGUCGUCAUGAGCAGCAGCAUUCUGCUCCACCCCAGAGCAUUUAAAGUCUCUUUACCAAGUCGAUAAUGUUAGAUAUCGAAUUUAUUCUAGUGAUGAUUUGAAGAAGGAUGUUUAAAAUACAGGAAAGUCACUGACUACUGUAGACUCACAGAUUUUAAUUGCUACAGCUCACCAUGUGCUGAAGGAGUUCCUUCACAAGCUGAGCGAAAUCUCUAAUUGAACGUUGAAUCCUUUAGCUGGAUCUGUACACACUAUGAUUUCUUGCCAUGAUGUGCAAACCUCUGCACAAACUACAUAUACAACAACAUGUUAUUACAAUAUUAACUGCAAACAGCUGGAUACAUACACAGAAAUAAUAUUCUUUCUUGUGUCCAUUAUUUUAGGCACUGUUUUAUAGGUAAAAUAAAGCUUUUUUGUUUAAGUUUAGGUUAGGAUUAGUCUAGGGAAGUGCUGAAAUUAAUUGUGUGGUGUCAGUGAAGUCAUCAAUAGAUUGGUGGUUGAGGGAAAUGGCCUUUGCUCUACAUAUCAGAAGACCAAGCUGUUAUGCUUGAGUCGGAUCGUGCAACGGUGAGACGUUUUUUUCUGUCUCUCAGAUGUCUGACAUCGUGUUACAAAUAAACCUUGUUUCCCAUUAAGCAUUGUACUGUUAAUCUAUACAGCAAAGGUCACAGGAAAUCAUAUUUCAAUCAUAUAGCAUAGUGAAAGAUGACCUGAAUCACUUCAGUGUCAAAAUUCAAAGUGCACAGUCUGACCUUAGUGCAACCCUCAAAAUGGCUCAUCAUUUGCCAUAAUUGGCUGAGAAAGGGAUUGAAGCAUGAAACGUAGCAGCCAUUACACUUCAAGACAAUGAACCCUGUAGCUGAAUAUAACACUGAUAUAAAAAGAUGAUGCACAGACAGGGAUUUCUUAUUGAUAUUCUGAAUUUAAUUCUAUUUGACUGUACAGCAUGCACUCACGAUAUAACUGAAAAAGUGCCAGUGGUUAAGAAAGUGUCUGGACAUAAGUGGUUGUACCCUGAUGUAAAUUCUUCAAUGUGCAAAUUUAGAAUGUCAGUGAAUGACAGGAUGAAUCAUAUCACUGUGUCACCGAAGGCUACAUUUUCCCAAAAGCACUGACAAGUGAUUAAUUUGUUGUGACCAACCUGCAAGCUGAAUCCUUUAUUGGAAAUGGAAAUAAAAG